CCUACGGGUGGCAGCAGUGGGGAAUAUUGGUCAAUGGGCAGAAGCCUGAACCAGCCAAGUAGCGUGCAGGAUGACGGCCCUACGGGUUGUAAACUGCUUUUAUACGGGAAUAACGCGCCUUACGUGUAGGGCUUUGCAUGUACCGUAUGAAUAAGGACCGGCUAAUUCCGUGCCUGCAGCCGCGGUAAUACGGAAGGUCCGGGCGUUAUCCGGGUUUAUUGGGUUUAAAUGGAUGGUAGGCCGGAUGUCAAGCGUGCUGUGAAAUGUCCGGGCUCAACCCGGGCCUUGCAGCGCGCACUGGCGUGCUUGAGUCCGCGGAAAGCAGGCGGAAUUCGUCGUGUAGCGGUGAAAUGCAUAGAUAUGACGAAGAACCCCGAUUGCAAAGGCAGCUUGCUGCAGCGGAACUGACGCUGAUGCUCGAAAGCGCGGGUAUCGAACAGGAUUAGAUACCCGGGUAGUC
rnacentral:rRNA from 1 species